UGAGAAUUAAACCUGGAAGUCUGCACUUCAAUUCCAUCUUGAUACUUUGAUUUAACAUCCACUGCGUUGGUGUGAAGAGGCAAAAUUUAUCAUCAUUUGCAGAUAGCCUGAUGGCUGAAGAGCUGCAGGCCACGCAUUUACAUUACAUACAUUUAAAAACAGCGUCCUCAUGCAGAACAUUCUGGCAAAGUCCACACUAGGGAAGAUGUUUGCAGCCAGGUCGCAACUUUAAUCAAAGCAGAUCAAUUCUGAAACAAAACACAGCAACACACUCCUAUAAUCUACACCAGUUUUAUCCGUCUACAUUAUAUUUAAGGAUUAUUUUAAUGGUUCUAUUCUUUAUACAGUUGCACAGAGCACAUCUUUACCUUCACAGACAGCAAAACAUGAAUUUUUCAGCCCCUUGGACUCCAUCACGACACAGGAGCAACUGGGCAAACUGAUUAUUCUCGGCUAAAAUGAAGUUUCCUAGAGAGAUGAAGCUGAUCUCAGCUCCUGCUUGUACCAAUGCAAUGAAUUUAAACAACUUACCAACUCACAGCAUUCGAGGAACACCAGAACGUCAAACAAAAAAGAUCCUCAAUGCAUGCAUUUGACUGCAGCAUGCUGGAUUCAAACAUUUCUUUUUUUCUACCUUAUUUUCAAAAAACAACAACAACAACAAAAAGAGAUCGCAGCUCAAAAUUUCUGUGAACUGGAGAUCUUGUUGGCUCUCAAUAGCACAAUAACUUCAGUCGUGUAUUUUAAAUGGUAUCCAGGAAAAGGCAGUAUUACCAUACUUUAACUGAGAUUAUAUGUUUUUACUGCGGCUGGCACACUGAAGAGAGCCUUAAAGCCUGGGACAGGCCAUUUAACGGCGCGGUUCAAAGAGGCAAAUUGCUGUUAUUACUGCAAACCUUUCCCAUCCUUCAUAAAAUCCUUUUUGCUUUGAACAGACAAUCCAAUUUUAAGCAACUGAAGUUUAUCGCUAGCCAUCUUAAAUUGAAGCACAUGAUUCUUUGUGGCCACAAAAUAGUUUUUAUUUAUUUUAAAUAACUUGUGCAUCUUAUUCCAGCAUGAGUACUUUACCUCUCCUUUAUCCUCCACCAGUGAGUCAUCCUGCUGUGAUGCACAACCUUACAACAUACUGUUUUUUUAAAUUAAGGUUUCUUUUUAUUAACAGUGCAUGCAAGGUGGAUAUCAAGCAAUCAAGAUAAAAAACUCAAAAAUCCUAGCUACAUAUAUGUACGCGUUCAUUUUCUUCAUUAUUAUCAUUCUUCAGGAUCACUCUUACCCACGCGGUAAAUAUUGAAAACAGUCAUAUACAGGGUAUACAGGGUCUCCUUAGUCUUUUUAGAACAAGCGUAGUGAGUUCAGACUGUAACAUAAAGCGGUCAGCCGCUGGGUCCUUCAUGGCAUAGAAAGCUGCUAAAAUAUACUCACGCAGGUAUAUUUUGUGCUGAUAAAUAUUUUCACGGCCCUUUGAGAUAUAGAAGAAACACAAUACAAACGUACAUGAAUACCAGUCUGAAUAUUAUAACAAAAUAAAUACAUUUGCUGUGACGCAGAGCUGCCUCUCGUAUAUUUCUAAACACUUCUUCAGUGCAGCUCCUGAAGGAGAAUCAUUCAGAAAAAUAAUUACAGGGUGAUGAGCGAUGUGAGGAAAGUUGGAAAUUAUGACCGGGGGAGACUAGCAGCUAAGGUUUGUGGGAGCUGUGGCGAAUUAAAGC
ensembl:lncRNA